AGGGAAUUCGAUGCACCUGUGCCUAGUUAGGGACAGCGGUUGGUGAUUGGAGGAUACGCUGGACAAGGCAGUACUUAAGGCCAAGUUAUUUCCCAGUCUGGGAAGCUCUUUUUGGUGUGUGUGAAGCACUGGGUUGUGCCCGUCUUGGUACGCUGCUGGUAGCUGUCUAACUCUCUCUCUCCCUCAGGCUGGAAUUGUAUGAUUGUGAAGACAUCGCGAACCUUAAAGGUUGAGAAGUGAACAGAUUAUACGGCGAACUGAGACGACGUGAAAAAGGGGAUUGGAAGUGGCAUUGAUGUGAGUACUAAGAGCCAGUCGAAAGUGCCCUGUAUAUUGACCUGGCGUUGUGUAGAUCUCUCCAGGAGGAGGAGGGCGGCCCUACCCCUAAUAUAGUGUGGUGGGAGAGCCGAAGGAAUACUUAUUGAAGUAGUCACAACGACGACACCACUAGCUAGGCCGCAUAUUCCAUCGCCAGAUCCGAACCAAGCGAAGUGAAGGAAGACGGGUGUCCUUUCCGUACACUGAGUGUGGUGGGUGAGUCUUCGUGCUGUGAAAACCUAUAAUUUUGACGUGGUGCUGUAUAUUGCUGUGGGCUGCUGUGUAUUGCCGUGUGUCCUGUCAGAUAAACCCCCGCCUUCACGCACUUCGGCGUGGGAGGACAAGGAGAUUGCUGGUUCUAGCCUAGUUCAGUACAGUAUAUGUUGUGAGCGUGCUUCAGAUCUCCGGAGAUAGCACGGUACGCUGUGUCCAGCCCAGAGGUGAGAGCCAUUCAAAGCAAACUAACUGUGCUAUUGUGCCCAAGCUGAUACCUGUGGAGAGAAAAGGAGAGAGAGAUUGAUACCUGUGGAGAGAAAAGGAGAGAGAGUGGGUAACACGAGGAGAGACUGAGGAAACCUGUACUUACGCCGCUGCCUGUGGAGAAAGAGAAAGCGAGUGAGCACCCAAGGAACGAACUGUGUGAACCAGUACUUACUGUGAGCUGUAAUCAGCGAAGAGGUGAGAGCAGAACCAAGCUGAACUAACUGUGCCUGUGUGUCCCAGCCGUUGCCUGUGGAGAAAGAGAAAGCGAGUGAGCACCCAAGGAACGAACUGUGUGAACCAGUACUUACUGUGAGCUGUAAUCAGCGAAGAGGUGAGAGCAAAACCAAGCUGAAUUAACUGUGCCUGUGUGUCCCAGCCGUUGCCUGUGGAGAAAGAG